rnacentral:rRNA from 1 species
AAUACGUUCCCGGGCCUUGUACACACCGCCCGUCACACCACGAAAGUCGGCAACACCCGAAGCCGGUGGCCCAACCUUUGGGAGGGAGCCGUCGAAGGUGGGGUUGGCGAUUGGGGUG